rnacentral:rRNA from 1 species
CUCCAACCCCUGUGACAUACCACUUGUUGCCUCGGCGGAUCAGCCCGCUCCCGGUAAAACGGGACGGCCCGCCAGAGGACCCCUAAACUCUGUUUCUAUAUGUAACUUCUGAGUAAAACCAUAAAUAAAUCAAAACUUUCAACAACGGAUCUCUUGGUUCUGGCAUCGAUGAAGAACGCAGCAAAAUGCGAUAAGUAAUGUGAAUUGCAGAAUUCAGUGAAUCAUCGAAUCUUUGAACGCACAUUGCGCCCGCCAGUAUUCUGGCGGGCAUGCCUGUUCGAGCGUCAUUUCAACCCUCAAGCACAGCUUGGUGUUGGGACUCGCGUUAAUUCGCGUUCCCCAAAUUGAUUGGCGGUCACGUCGAGCUUCCAUAGCGUAGUAGUAAAACCCUCGUUACUGGUAAUCGUCGCGGCCACGCCGUUAAACCCCAACUUCUGAAUGUUGACCUCGGAUCAGGUAGGAAUACCCGCUGAACUUAAGCAUAUCAAUAAGCGGAGGA